CUUUAGUGGCGAACGGGUGCGUAAUACGUGAGAAUCUGCCCUUAGGAGGAGUAUAACUGUUGGAAACGACUGCUAACACUCCAUAUGUCGAGAGAUGAAAUAAUUUAUUGCCUAAGGAUGAGCUCGCGCCUGAUUAGCUAGUUGGUGAGGUAAUGGCUCACCAAGGCCACGAUCAGUAGCUGGUUUGAGAGAACGAUCAGCCACACUGGGACUGAGACACGGCCCAGACUCCUCCGGGAGGCAGCAGUGAGGAAUUUUCCGCAAUGGGCGAAAGCCUGACGGAGCAAUACCGCGUGAGGGAUGAAGGAUUUUGGUCUGUAAACCUCUUUUCUCAAGAAAGAAGUUCUGACGGUACUUGAGGAAUAAGCAUCGGCUAACUCCGUGCCAGCAGCCGCGGUAAUACGGGGGAUGCAAGCGUUAUCCGGAAUCAUUGGGCGUAAAGCGCCUGUAGGUUGUUUAAUAAGCCUGUUGUUAAAGACUAGGGCUCAACCCUAGGAAAGCAAUGGAAACUACUAGACUUGAGUAUGGCAGGGGUAGAGGGAAUUUCUAGUGUAG
rnacentral:rRNA from 1 species